UCGGGGCUACGCUCGUAGAUGCUCUUGUGUCUUUGCUUUCGGACGCGGGUUCGAUUCCCGCCACCUCCACCA
rnacentral:tmRNA from 1 species